UACGAGAACCCCAAGCGUUAUCCGGAAUCAUUGGGCGUAAAGGGUGUGUAGGUGGUGUGGUUAGUCUUCUGUCAAAAUCUCGGGCUUAACCCGAGUCUUGCAGAGGAAACGGCCACACUCGAGGAUGCGAGAGGUGAAUGGAACUCAUGGAGUAGGGGUAAUAUCCGUUGAUAUCAUGGGGAACACCAAAAGCGAAGGCAAUUCACUGGCGCAUUCCUGACACUGAACACGAAAGCGUGGGUAGCGAAUGGG
rnacentral:rRNA from 1 species